CCGUAUCCUCAAUUAUUAACGCAACCCUAACUAUUUUUCGUAUCAUCAUUUAAUCAAUAUAUUUCAUUAGCUCUUAUGUCUUUACAGCUUAUUUGCAGCUUAUCAUUUUAAAUACUUAUGUAUAAGUUGUUUCCAUAGUAAAAGGUAAAAUUAAGUUUAAAUUGUUUUUGUAUAAGGUUAUAAGUUGCUUUCAUAAGCUAUCUUUGAUGACUUAUGAGAAUAAGCAGAAAAUAGCUUAUGAAUAAUGUUACUAGCUAACCCACUUGGGUUGGUCAGGUGGGGUUGGUUGGGACCUUGGAGUGUGUUCUUCUCAAGGUCUUAAGUUCGUUUACCUCCGGUGCCAAUUUCGAUUCGAUGAGCUAGUCCAUUCAGAGCCUUGCUCUGGUUUUAAAUGGGUCUCCCACAGGUGGACAGUGGGAUUGAAACCCUCGAAUUAGUCUGUCCUUAGGCUGGAUACCGAGUUUUCAAAAAAAGAACAAUGUCAUAAGCUAUUUUCAUAAGUUCUCUCAAACAAUCUCACAAAACUUAUGUUGGUAGAUAAACUCAAAUAAAUCAAUCCAAUUAGGCAUCAUUACAUGGUUAUCAUUAAUGACAGAGGUUUAAACCAAAAGUUGGGGCAUGGAGGAUCUAAUCUUAGUUAUGAGUUAUGACAUAGGGGAGUUUGGGCUCCCCCAAAUAUUUUAAAAGUAAUGUAUAUAUUUCUUUCUAAGGUAGUUGAGUUCAUCCCCGCAACCUUAAACAUGGAGCAAAAAGCAAGAAAAUGAAAAUCACACAUGAAGGGAUAUGGUGUUGUGCUGGUAUAAAUAUACCUUAGAAAGAAACAUGCAUAUUAUUGUAAAAAUAUCUACAAGAACCCAAGCUCUCCUAUGUCAUAACUAAGACGCGCCGUUGGUUAUCACCCCCAAUUUUGUUACUGUUUAUUAUUCUCUCAUUGUACUGAACUGAAAUGCUAUUUAUCUGCUUGUUAGGGUAUGCUUACAUGAUCCUGAAAAUUAAAAUUUUCUUGUGCGUAAGAAUUGUGCUUCAUGUUUUGCCUCUGUGUGUAUGUGUCCAUGGAUAGUUGAAUAUUUAUUCAGUUACAUGAUUGUGUUCUAGAGAGAAAAUAAGGACGAAAACUUUUAUCUGGGGUGAAGUUACUAGGUUUUUCUUUGGAAUUUUAGCAUUGCAAUACUGUUUCUUCAACAAUCACCUUUGGACCAUAGACUACAUUUUACAUGAUUGUAUUUUGGGGAAAAUUAGAAGUUAGGAAGAUAAUUUAAUUUGGUAAAGUUAGUAGUAACUGGGUUUGACUUGGGAAUUCUAGCACUGUCAUAUUGUUUCUUUAACAUGCAUAUUUGGACCAUAGACUAUAUUUUAGAUGACUGUGAUUGGGGAAAUAAGGAAGUAAACUUUAUCUAGGCGAAGUAACUGAGUUUUUCUUGGUAAUUCUAGCAUUGCGUUGUUGUUUCUUUAACAACCAAAUUUGAGCAAUAGACU
rnacentral:lncRNA from 1 species